AUUGAACGCUGGCGGCAUGCCUUACACAUGCAAGUCGAACGGUAACAGGUCUUCGGAUGCUGACGAGUGGCGAACGGGUGAGUAAUACAUCGGAACGUGCCUAGUAGUGGGGGAUAACUACUCGAAAGAGUGGCUAAUACCGCAUGAGAUCUACGGAUGAAAGCAGGGGAUCGCAAGACCUUGUGCUACUAGAGCGGCCGAUGGCAGAUUAGGUAGUUGGUAGGAUAAAAGCUUACCAAGCCGUCGAUCCGUAGCUGGUCUGAGAGGACGAUCAGCCACACUGGGACUGAGAAACGGCCCAGACUCCUACGGGAGGCAGCAGUGGGGAAUUUUGGACAAUGGGCGCAAGCCUGAUCCAGCAAUGCCGCGUGCAGGAUGAAGGCAUUCGGGUUGUAAACUGCUUUUGUACGGAACGAAAAGCCCCGGGUUAAUACCCUGGGGUCAUGACGGUACCGUAAGAAUAAGCACCGGCUAACUACGUGCCAGCCGCCGCCGUAA
rnacentral:rRNA from 1 species